GUUACAAGCCUUGCAAUUUGAUCCUAACAGACUCAAAGGAGUCUUGCUAAAAGUUGCCAUCCCCAUUUUGUUUGUAUAGUAUUCUUUGUUGAUAGCUGAUAUUGCAUUCCUUCUUAACCUGUUGUUGAACCAUCUAUUGAAAUAGCUUCGGAAGGUGAAAGCAGAGCUUGGAGAACUCUCUAACAAUCCCCAAGGCUUGCUUUUGGAAGCAAUUCACUCUGCUGGUUAUUCUGGUGCAUUGGCUUUUCCUCUUUUGGCUCCUGAAGCAGCACUGAACAGAUUGGACGGCCCCAAUUUAGAGGAAUUUGUUGUUGUAAGAUCUGUUAUCCUUUCUGAUACUGCAUGAAUCCUACUGGUAUUAGUUUAUGCAACACUUGUAGUUUUUACCAUUUUCUUUUUGUUAUUCCCCCUUGGUAUCUAUUUGAGAAUCUAAUUGUUGCUGGAUGUAAAAAAAUCAGGAGAAUUACACAGCACCUAGAAUGGUACUUGCAGCAUCUGGGGUUGAGCACGAAGAGCUUCUAUCUAUUGCUGAGCCACUUCUCUCUGAUCUACCAAAGGUUCCCCGUCCUGAAGAACCAAAGUCUAUCUAUGUUGGGGGUGAUUUUCGCCGUCAUGGUGAAGGGGUGUGUAUAGGUUUUUAUACAUAUUUACAUUUUUCUUGUAUCUCAUUCUUUUCAUUUAUCCCCUUCAAAGAAAUAUUGUUAUUUACCUGCAAAGAUAUGUUGCAAGGGCAGGGUACACAUGUUGCUAUUGCUUUUGAAGUGCCUGGUGGCUGGCAAAAAGAGAAAGAUGCUAUAGCUUUAACUGUUUUACAGGUACUCCAUUUUGUGUUUGAGUCUGAUAGAAUUACUGUAUUUUGUUUUUUGGUCCUUACUUUUGUUGCACAAUAAAGGACAAAUGAAAUGAUUGAAUGGAAGUAAUAAUUCUUGAAUUGUGCAGAUGCUUAUGGGAGGAGGUGGAUCAUUCUCAGCAGGGGGGCCUGGAAAAGGGAUGCACUCAAGGCUAUGUAAGUUUUACCUGUACUUUCUUGUCCGCUGUUUAGUUUGGUCAGCUACGUGCUUUAACAUUGUCAUUAUCUUAAAUUAAACUCUCCAUUUAUCUGUCUAAUGUGCACUUCACCUUCCUUCAUCAUUUUAGUUUCAUGCAUACCCAACUCUAAUAUUUUAACUUGUUUUGCAUGUACAACUGAAUCCAGAUCUUAAUGUGCUGAAUGAAUAUCAACAGAUUCAAUCUUUUUCUGCAUUCAACAGUAUCUUCAAUAAUACAGGACUGUUUGGCAUCUAUGCAAGCACUGUAAGCAAACACUUGUCACUAUUUCUAGACAUUCCUUUACUCAAAAAAUAUAUUUUUGAAUAUAGAUAUGUAUUUCCUUCUUUUUCCCCCUUUGAAAGGCUGGGUUAUUAUGUCUAGGGGAACAAGUUGCCUUAUAUUAUGCAAUGUUGUUAGAAGCUAGACAGCCUAGACUCAAAAUGUGCUUAUUAGUUGAAGACAAAGUUGUCUUGAUGAACAUUGAUCAAAGUGUAUGGCUAGUUUGAGGAUUAUACAUGGCUUGUUGAUGACCUUUGAAUUGUUACUCAUGAAUUAUGAUUGCCAUAAUUAAACAAACUAGUUAUUCUACUUUCUUUUCCUUUUCCCUUUUGAUUAAUUUUUAAUAUUAUCAUGGGAUUGGACAAGAAAUAUAGGGAUUGGAGAUGUGUUGCUUUUCUUAACCUUUGUAAAGGAUAUAUGCUCUUUUUGUAUAGGGGAAUUUCUAACUAUGUUUAGUUCUGAGUUUUUGGAGAGAAUGAUGAUAAAACAGAGAAACAAAAAUAGGAAUAUUAGGUGGCACUUGGUUUUAGUGUUUUCUGUUUCCAUUUUUGAAGAAAACAAAAAAUAAGAGUGAAAAUAUGUUUGUUUAAAAUUUAGAAAACAUUUUCUCUGAAAAUAUUUUCAAAAACAGGUCCAAAACUGAAAACAACACAUCGACAUUUUCAGUCUUUUCUGAAGAAGUGAAAACAUGGUGGCACCUAGAGUACUUUCUUCUCAAUACAUGUUUUCUAAAUCUUGAAAAUUUGAAAAUGAAAAUAAAAAAUAAACACUCAAACCAAGCACCACCUUACAUAGUGUUAAUUUAAUUACAAAAAAUGACCAAGGAGAGAAUUCUCCUUACAAGGGUUUCCCCUUCACAAAGUGUUUCCCCUUUAUACAACUGAACUAACUAAUGUUCAAUUCCCAAAUGACAACAAAUCGCAAUCUAUCCCUUCUAAUCUAUUCUCCUAUUUAAGCUUAUUCCCUACCUCUUGAACUGCCCCAAUACUACUGUUUUAACUAACUACUCUUGUGAGAACAUUUUUUAGAGGGAAUAAUUGCUUUUUUUUUUUAAAUCUUUCUUAUGAAACUGCCAAAAAUAAGUAAUUACUUCUUCAAAAUAAGCUAAACCAUAAGUUAAUAGUUACUGCUUAAUAUGUUAUGCUGAGGUUGACACAUUCAAAUUUGUGCAUGUAGAGCCCUGAUUUUGUGCCAAAAACUGUUGAUAUAGCAGCCAAAGAACUAAUAGCAAUUGCUUCCCCUGGACAAGGUUUUACUUCUCUCCUGUUUCUGCAGUAUUUUAGUUAGAAUCUUUAUUUGUGUGAAAUUAAACUAGCAUUUCUUUCGAUGACAGUUACACAGGUACAGCUUGACCGAGCCAAAAAAUCCACAAAGUCUGCAGUUCUAAUGAAUCUGGAAUCUAGAGUAUGCUCUUGCCUUCUUUAAUACAUAAACUGUAAUGUGUUAAAUCCUUUGAAAGCUUCUCUUCUAUUUAGACUCCUUUGUUUAUGCAUCAUUCCAGGGGCAUCAAUUUUUUCAAUUUCUAUUUAUCUAUUAGUCUUCAAUAAUGUUAGGAACUGAUGUUAUUAGACUCAGUACUUAGUGAAAAGCUUACAUUUACCUCAUCCCAAAGAGAUGUGUGGGGCCUAAAACCUACAGCAUGCGAGACCCCACUUGACCAACCCCUUGGGUUCACAGUUCCCUUUAUACACAUCCUCAUGUAUGUCUCAUUACCACGGUUUUAUCACCUUUUUUUUUGUGUUUUCCUUUGAACAUGUCCACCUCAAACACAAUUUUCAUGCCUAGCUUAGCCAGGGUCUCCUUCCCUCCUGAAACUAUGAAAGCUCUUAAAAAAGUAUGCCGAUUUAGAAUCAUUGCAUGCUUAUGCCUUGUGAUUCUUUUUUGAGAAAUGCUAGCAACGCACUCUCAACACGUUCCUCCUAACACACUCUUUAUAAUUGGUUGAAAUUUAUUAGAAGUCACAAUUUUUUAUAGGUCCCACUUGUUAUUUAAUGACUCUUUUCUGAUUUUGUAAUUUUUAAUAAAUUCUAACCAAUGAUAGAGUGUUAGGAGGAGUGUGUUGCCAGCACUUCUCUGCUGAACUCUGUCUGGUUAGAUUUCAUUUGGAUCUCAUUCUUAAAAUAAUCAUUUUUUUGCAGAUGAUUGCAUCAGAAGAUAUAGGAAGGCAGAUUUUGACUUAUGGAGAAAGGUAAACAAUCAAUCUCAAAAGACCUUAAAAAAAUUCUUUUCGUUUAUAUGUUGCUGGCACCUUUUCUCAUUUUACGAAUAUACUCUAUUCACAAGCUAUAAUUCUUGAAUGGAAGUGUAUUGUUACCCUUUUCAGGAAGCCUGUGGAACAGUUCUUGAAGGCCGUAGAUGAAAUCACGUUGAAUGAUAUCACUAAAAUUGCUCAGAAGAUUAUUUCCUCACCUUUGACGAUGGCAUCAUAUGGGGAUGGUAUUAAGUUUUUCCUUUCAAGAAUUUCUUUACUAAUUGAUAACUCUAGACUUGACUGAGAAACAUGAUUUCUUUCUUUUGUGGCAGUCAUGAAUGUGCCAAGUUAUGAAUCUGUUAACAGCAAGUUCCAUGCAAAAUGAAAUUGCAUGUGAUCCACCUUCGGCUCAUCAUAUUUUCUGGAUCACAAGCAUGCCUACUUCCAAUUUUCAAGAGCAAUAUACACCGAAUCAGCAAUGCUGAAAAUAAAUCCCAGAGAAUUUUUUUGUGCGGAUCUGAGGAACCAUUGUUCUUGUUCCAUGUUUGUUUUUUUUUUUUAUAACGAUUUGCCUUACUGUAUUAGGUGCAUCGGUCUUAUGGCUAAUGUGCACCUUAAUUUUUUAUUUUAUGAACUAAUUCUCAAGAGAGCACGAAAGCCAAGCCACGCAUGAAUAGAUCAAGAAAAAUGCAAGUAAUAAUUUUCUAACAUGUUCUACAGUUUCUCUUGGAUAUAUUUAUUUAGGGUUUAUUAAAUAUUAAAUAUAAUCCAUUAAAUAAGUGGCAGGUCUUGUAUCAUUUUGUUGGCCCUAUUAUAUCAAUUGUUAAAUUUUUAAAAAAUGAACAAAUGUUUGACCUAUUUUUUAAUGUUUUAAAUAAUAAUUCAUAGUCAAAAUAUUUCAAGAUUUUUGUUUAGAAGUUUAAAACAUGUAAUAUCAAAACUAUAAUAAAGGUUUUCUACUAAAAAAAAGGGAUCCACAAUGAAGAUUAUUUUUCUUGGUUCUGCAGAGAGUAUAAUAAAGGCAAUCGUACUAUGAAAAAUUCAUUUGAAAUAUUUAAUAAAAUUAGUUGAUUAACUUACUGAUAAGUAUUACAUAUAUUUAGUUAAUAAAAAAGUAUUUUCUAAAAAAUAAAAUAAAUAGUACAAUAAGUAAAACAAAUUGUGUAAUAUUAAAAUGAGGUAAUAAAUGAGUAGUUUUAUUAAAGUAUUUAUGCUAUAAACUAGUGAAACAAGCUUAUUUAUUAAAUAUAUUUUGUCAAACAAAAUUAGAGUAUAUAUAUGUGGAAUAUAUUUGAUUAAAGUACAUUUUUUUAUACGAUUUGCCUUAGCUACAUUUUUUUAAAAAAAAGUUUCAAAACAAAAAAUGUGGAAUAUAUUUCCUUAAAAAUAUGUUCAAUACUAAAAAUACAUUCAAAACCCUUAUCUAAAUGCAUUGUUUGGAAGGAGACCAUAACAAAAGGAAAUUAAAAAAAAACAUUUCUUUCUUGAUUUGACAUUUUUUAUCACCAUGUAGAAUAUUCAUCCAUUUAUUAAUUUAUGUUGGAUAAUCUUUAGUGAGAUUUUCAUCUCAAUUAUAUUUUUUUAUCCAUAAAACUUAAACCUAAAAUUUUAUUUAAGGAAAUUAAACUUAUGACCACUCAUAUCAACCAAUGAUUUGCUGGUUUCCCGAUUUGACUUUGACAACACGUUAUGAAGGAAAAAAUCUUAUAAAAGUAAGUUGAAUUCAUUUUUGCAAUCUACCCAAUUUGGGUGGAAAGAAAAAGAUGAUUUUAUAAAAUUAAAAUAUCAAAUUAUUCUUAUUUAUACAUUUUUAAUUUUUAUUAUAAAUAUUUAUGCCAUUGUAUGUAUAUAAUUUCUUUUCUUCUACUUUAUGUAUAGCAAAUAAGAAAAAAAUAUCUUAUAUUUUAUUUUCUCUUUUACCAAACACCUUAAAAAUCAUUGAAUAAUCUUUUUCCUUCAAGGAUGUGUUUGAGACAUCGAAGAAAAUUAAAUUAUUUCAAUAAUUGAUUGAAAUUGAUUAUAAUCAGAAUCAAUUUUUAUUUAGAUAAAUUUAUUAAAAAAAGUGAUCCCAAAUAAUUUCGUUUGGAUAUAACAAAAAAUUAGCUUUUACACUUUCACAUAGAAAGAGUAUGAAAACAGCCGGGGGAAAACUGACAAAAAAUAAUCAUAAGUUAUAAAUUUUUAGUUCAUAUAAACAACUUAUUUCUUAAAAAUAAAGUUUUUUUCUAAAUCGAAGUUAAGAUUCUAAACAUCCAACUGGAAACAACUUUAUUUUCAAAUAAAUAAGCUGAAAUUUGAUAUUAUAAUCGUUCCAAACAUGCCUUAUUUUCUUUCUUUUCUUUUGCCUUUUUAUUUUGCUAACAACUUUAUUUUUCUAAUAAAUAAGUUGAAAGUUGCUAUCAUAGCUGUUCCAAACAUAAUUCUUUUUUUUUUCUUCUACUUUUUCUACUUUUAUUUUGUUUCCUAAAACAAACAAUUCUAAAAUAUAGUUUAAAAUCCAAAUUAAAUUAUUGCAUUAAAUAUGAUUUUAUACUAUAAUCAAAUAAAUAAUAAGUUAACAAACAAUUUACCAAAUCUAUUGUAUACUUUAAGUCUUGAAUUAAAUAUACUUUAAUCAUAAAUAUAUUACCUUUUACAGCGAAAAUGUACAAUAAUGUCAGAUAUUGGAUAAAGUAGUCUAAGAAAUUUGAAAAUAAUGAGCAGGAGAUAGUCACGUGGCAAUAGAGUGUUGACAGAGGAUAGUGUCCUUCGAAAUUAUGUGCAAAAUGAUUACAAAGUUGAUGUGACUGAGCAGGAAACCUACCCUAAAAAGAAUUCAAAAUAGUGAUAUGGUUUUACUCAUCCACGGCCCAGCCAGGCAAAUUUCCUGCAUGGGUUACUUUUAGAAACAUUUUCCCGAAAUGAGUAUGUUUCUAAAGUAAUCCCUGCAUGGUGCUCUUUUUUACGUAGAGACCAUGCAAAUCGCAAGGAGGAAUGGCGAUUUCGUCGUCGACGCGACAGCUGGCACCAGUGUCGCCAUCUUCAAUGGCGUGUUGCACCAAGCUUGGACUCGCCAGUUUGACUGGCGAGUUGAGGGUAGGGGUUUGCAGUUCCUAGGUGCAGCUAUUUCCGACGCUGCAGUCUGCAACCUGCAAUGGGCAGUUCCUAGGUGCAGGGUGUCGCCAGCUCCAAUGGCGUUUUGGUUGGCCAAAAUCACCAGCACGAGCAGCGAUUUGCCUUGCUUGGGGUUUUUAAAUCCCCCUCCCCUGUAGACCAUUGACGCCUGAAAAAGAUAGAGAAGAGAGAAGCUUGGUGGUGGGAUUUUUGCUGGUGCUGAAGAAGGAUUUGCCUUGCUGUUGUGCUGUUUGUGUUUGAACAAAUUUCUUUUUUCAGUGAGUUUAUUUAAUUAUUUUUUAAUUUUAUUUGUAUGCUGAUGAUAAUUAUAGUUUUAUUAAUAUUUGUUAUUAGUAUUUUUAUCUUAAGUUAGUUUUAGUUAGAAUUUAUAAUUAUAAUUUUAUUAAUAUGUGUUAUUAGUUUUUUAUGUUAAGUUAGUUUUAGUUAGAAAGGAUAACUUUAAUUUAAUUUGAUAAUUUAAUAUGUGUUAUUAGUUUUUUUUUAUCUUAAGUUAGUUUUAGUUAGAAUUGAUAAUUAUAAUUUUAUGAAUAUGUGUUAUUAGUUUUUUUUAUGUUAAAUUAGUUAUAGUUAGAUAUGAUAAAUUUAAUUUAAUAUGUGUUAUUUGUUUUUUUUAUCUUAAGUUAGUUUUAGUUAGAAUUUAUAAUUAAAAUUUUAUGAAUAUGUGUUAUUAGGUUUUUUAUCUUAAGUUAGUUUUAGUUAGAAAUGAUAAAUUUAAUUUAAUUUGAUAAUUUAAUAUAUGUUAUUAGCUUUUUUAUCUUAAGUUAGUUUUAGUUAGAAUUUAUAAUUAUAAUUUUAUUAAUAUGUGUUAUUAGUUUUUUUAUGUUAAGUUAGUUUUAGUUAGAAAUGAUAACUUUAAUUUAAUUUGAUAAUUUAAUAUGUGUUAUUAGUUUUUUUUAUCUUAAGUUAGUUUUAGUUAGAAUUUAUAAUUAGAAUUUUAUGAAUAUGUGUUAUUAGCUUUUUUAUGUUAAGUUAGUUUUAGUUAGAAAUGAUAAAUUUAAUUUAAUUUGAUAAUUUAAUAUGUGUUAUUAGUUUUUUUUUUAUCUUAAGUUAGUUUUAGUUAGAAUUGAUAAUUAUAAUUUUAUGUGAAUAUGUGUUAUUAGUUUUUUUUUAUCUUAAGUUAGUUNNNNNNNNNNNNNNNNNNNNNNNNNNNNNNNNNNNNNNNNNNNNNNNNNNNNNNNNNNNNNNNNNNNNNNNNNNNNNNNNNNNNNNNNNNNNNNNNNNNNNNNNNNNNNNUUAUUAGUUUUUUUUUUAUCUUAAGUUAGUUUUAGUUAGAAUUGAUAAUUAUAAUUUUAUGUGAAUAUGUGUUAAUAGUUUUUUUUUAUCUUAAGUUAGUUUUAGUUAGAAUUGAUAAUUAUAAUUUUAUGUGAAUAUGUGUUAUUAGUUUUUUUUAUCUUAAGUUAGUUUUAGUUAGAAUUUAUAAUUAUAAUUUUAUGAAUAUGUGUUAUUAGCUUUUUUAUCUUAAGUUAGUUUUAAUUUGAUAAUUUAUCUUAAGACUCUUCAACGUAUGAGUUAGACACAAGAUAAUCAUCAUCAUCAUCAUCUUCGUCAAGAUUUAAAUUGCUCAUAUUUGUUGGCGGUUGUGUGUCAUCGUUAGAUACAUAAUUUCCACAUGAUGUAAGGGAAUUUGCAGAAUGAAACAUUGAACCACCAGCCACAUCCUUUUCUAUGUACAAUUCUAGAACUGACAUUUCUUGUUGUUGUUUAAAACUUUCCAGCAUCGUCUCAACGUCUUCGUCAUCACAAAUUUGCAAGGAAGUAUAUUUUCCUGACACUAAAAAUCUACAGCUGAUAGCAGAAAUAAUUUCAUUAUUUUGUAACUUUACCUUAUCUCCAAUUUUUUUCUUCAAAGCAUUGAAACUAAUUCCACGUUUAAUCUGAAUCGCUUUUUUACUGCCUUCAAAUAUUACACCAUCAUUAUCUUCAUAUACCCUUCCAUUGAAAUACAACAUUGUUAUAAUCGAAUUCAUCGUGUACCUACAAAAACAAUAUUUUAACACGUCAAAUAAAUUAUAAAAUGAGACACACUUAAAUCAAAUGAAUAAUUUCAAACUAAUAAAAUCUAAUCACAAAAGGUCCCUUUAUUGGAAUUUCACAUUCAAUUUGUCUUUUAAAAUAAUUUAAUUAACUUGAAAUAAAUUUCAUGGGACACACUUAAAAAAAUGAAUAAUUUCAAACUAAUAAAAUCUAAUCACAAAAGGUCCCUUUAUUGGAAUUUCACAUUCAAUUUGUCUUUUAAAAUAAUUUAAUUAACUUGAAAUAAAUUUCAUGGGACACACUUAAAAAAAUGAAUAAUUUCAAACUAAUAAAAUCUAAUCACAAAAGGUCCCUUUAUUGGAAUUUCACAUUCAAUUUGUCUUUUAAAAUAAUUUAAUUAACUUGAAAUAAAUUUCAUGGGACACACUUAAAAAAAUGAAUAAUUUCAAACUAAUAAAAUCUAAUCACAAAAGGUCCUUUUAUUGGAAUUUCACAUUCAAUUUGUCUUUUAAAAUAAUUUAAUUAACUUGAAAUAAAUUUCAUGGGACACACUUAAAAAAAAUGAAUAAUUUCAAACUAAUAAAAUCUAAUCACAAAAGGUCCCUUUAUUGGAAUUUCACAUUCAAUUUGUCUUUUAAAAUAAUUUAAUUAACUUGAAAUAAAUUUCAUGGGACACACUUAAAAAAAUGAAUAAUUUCAAACUAAUAAAAUAUAAUCACAAAAGGUCCUUUUAUUGGAAUUUCACAUUCAAUUUGUCUUUUAAAAUAAUUUAAUUAACUUGAAAUAAAUUUCAUGGGACACACUUAAAAAAAAUGAAUAAUUUCAAACUAAUAAAUUUUAAAGACAAAAUAAAAAAAUUCAUGAACGAAAUUAAUAAUAUAAAUAAUUAAUCUUAACAAUAAUAACUUCAAAAUGAAAUACGGUAAUUACAAAAUUACUACAAAUAUAUUCAAAUAAAUAUGCUACGAGAAACAACAAAGCAUCGUCAAAUAAAUUUUUAUGGUGUAUUUCGUUAAAUGAUUUGACGGAAAAAAAUAUAACAAAAAUUUAAACGUAUUAUUAUGGUGUUUGUAAUUUGUAAGUGUCUAAAUAUCAAUAACAUCAAUCAUUUGUACAAUAUCUCAAUUAGGCGGGCAUAUAAAUAGUUAAUCUUCACAAUAAUAAAAAUAGGUAAUUACAAAAUUAUUACUACAAAUAUAUUAAAAUAAAUAACACUUUCAACUUCAACGCAUAUAAAUUUUUAACACACUAACAAAUGAACUUAAUCUAAUUUAAUUUAAAAAAUAUUAUAACUUCAUCUUAAAAAAACACCAACAUAAACACAUUUCAAAGAACACUCAUAAAUUUUUAAGACACUAAUAAAACAUAAACACCAACUUAAUAUAAUUAUAAAAUAACUAUAAACUUCAUAUUCAAUACAAUUUUUUUUACACCAACACCAACUUAAUAUAAUUUAAAAAUAACUAUACACAUUUGAACUUUUAUACCUUAAAGCUGUACCUUGAACCUGCCUUCAACAAUGUUUUUAGGAUUCAACACAAAAUAGGAUAAACAAUUUGAAACUCACUAUUUUUUAGAAAAGGCACAUAAAAUAUCAACUCUCAGAUGAUUUCAAGAAACGCACAUCAAAUGGGCGGAGCUUUGGUUUAUAAAGGAGCUGAAAUCGCCAUCGGGAAUGGCUACUUCAUGCUCAAAUCGCCAGUGCUACUGGCUACUCCUACCUGCAGCACAAAUCGCCAGUAGCACUGGCGUUUUCCACCAAAAAGCUGUCCCUCCUCCUGCAGAGCUGCUGCACGUAGCCUGAGAACUGCAAACCCCUACCCUCAACUCGCCAGUCAAACUGGCGAGUCCAAGCUUGGUGCAACACGCCAUUGAAGAUGGCGACACCGGUGCCAACUGUUGCGUCGACGACGAAAUCGCCAUUCCUCCUUGCGAUUUGCAUGGUCUCUACGUAAAAAAGAGCACCAUGCAGGGAUUACUUUAGAAACAGACCCAUUUCGGGAAAAUGUUUCUAAAAGUAACCCCAUGCAGGAAAUUUGUCGCCCAGCCACUUAGUAUUCUUUUGAAUGUAAAUUAGUAUCCGCGCGUAUGUAUAACUAUGCCGGUCAUUACACGUUUUUUAUAUCAAUUUAUAUGUGAAAGUUUAUCAAAUGUAUAAUUUGUUGCAUAUACAUUUGUGCUGAUAAAUCGGUACCUAGUCACAUACAUUUAGUAAAUUAGUGAUUUAUGUAAUGAGAAAUUAGAAUAUUAACACAAAUAUAUAAUUUUAAAAAUAUUUGUCAGGAGAAUUUAUAUUAUAAUAAUUGACAUUAUCCUUCUUUAGAUUUUUAUAUCAAAAAAUAUAAUUAAUUAUUGAAUUUAUAGAUGGGAAGCAAAAGUAUUGAAGCUGAGGACAUUAUUUCUUAAAAAUACUUACCAGAAUAUAUUUAAUGUUGAUUUAAAAUAUACUUAAUUGUUGUUAUAACAUGAAAAUCUGCCUAACUAUAAAGAAUAUGAUUAAUAUUUUAUAGAAAGAUAAAUAUUAUAAAUACAGUUAAUCAAUUUUAAGAUAUUUAUCAUAAAUUUUACAAAACUUUCUUAAAAUUUAUAUUUAUGGUUGUCUUUAAUGGAUUUCCUUCUUUAUUAUGUCAUGUAUUAGUAUCUUUAAUUAAUUCUGCCUAUAUCAAUUAGUUGUAGACAUAAGUUUUUGUUUUAAAAUUUUACCUACAGUGGCCAUUUGUAAGUAGAAAUCUUUUUUUUUUUAUCUAUAACAAUUAACUGUGGAUAUAAGUUUUUAUAGGAUUUUACUUACAUCAAAUAGUUGUAAGCAAAAAUCUUUUUAUGUUUUAUCGAGAUAUACCUGUACCAAAAAUUGUAGAUACAAAUCUUUAAAUUUAACCUACCAUAAACAAUUAAAGGAAAAAAUAAUUUUAAAUUUUACUUAUAGAAUUGAUCUUUUCAUUAUUUUUAAUAUUUUUUAUUCAUAAUCUUUUCAUUGUUUUUAAUAUUUUUUAUUCAUAAUUUUCUUCACUACUACUAACUUUUGCAGCUUCCUGGUGUAGGCUUAAUUUUCUUCUUUAAAUAGACAAUAUUCCUUUAGCUAGCUAGAUACAAGAAAUUAAAAUAUUUGUGAACGGUAAGCGCGGCAACCUCUUUUUAUGGUCCACGUGAUAUAAUAUAACUAUUAGUUAUUAAAUUUAUCCUCAUUAACUUAACAACUUAAUGUUUGUCUAAUAAAAACUAAUUUAUUAGUGAAUAAGGAUUUCAUUUGUAAGUUUACGUUAAUGAUAAUUUUUUUGCUUGAUUACAUGUACAUUAAUGAGCUUUUUGGAUUUUCUUUUUUAGUGACAAACGGUGGAUAUCUCUUGAUCGGUAUAAGAUUCAUUUAAGUUAUCUCCAAGUGAGGAUGUUUGAUGAGUUUUUUAGGAUAAAAACAUUUUUUUUAUUUUUUUUGUUACUGGAGAAGUUGAGUUGAUAUUAUGAGUUUCUUUAUUUUUCUGGCUUGAGUAUCUUAUAUAGUGAAUAUUUUAAAAUUUUACAGAAUAAAAACAAUUGAAAUCGAGGAUAGAAAGAAUAAAGACGUACUACAACGCAAAUUACGAGAAGAAAUAACACAGACCAUAACUUUAAUUUAAAAGUAGUUUUUAAGUAAGAACAUAUUUUUUUAUUUUAAAGUUACAAUUUACAAUAGGACUUUUAAAAAUAAAAUAAAAUAAAAUUGUUUGUUAAUUUUUAUUUCGUUUCAAUUAAAAGAGAAGAUUUAAAAAUGACAAAAAAAAAUACAUAUAUAGAGAGAGCGGGAAGCACUACCAACGAAGAGGGAGAGCCAGAAGAGAGUAAGAAGAAAGAAAGCAAAAAGAGUGUGAAGAAAGAACGAGGGAAAAGGGAGAGGAUGAGAGAGAGAUCAAGAAAGGAUGAAGAAAGAAGAGAAUUAAAGUUAACGUUUUUUCUCUAAGUUCUGUUACGUACUUUUUAAUUUCUAUUAUAAAAGUGUGAGUUUAAUUUUCAUAUAUUAUUGGUAUAAAGAUUUUUGCAUUAUAAAAAAAUUGGAAAUCGUUUUAAAUGUUAACUUUUAAAGUAAUUAUUUAAAAAUUAACUAUUUAAUCAAUGAAUUUAUUAUUAAAUUUAGAUGACAAUGUACAAAAAAUAUAGAUUUGACUCAUCUAAAGUAACUAAGAGUAAAAAAAAAAAACGUAAUGUUGAUGAGAAAAUUAAUCUCGUUCAAAAAAUAAACGGGAAAAUUAAUCAUUAAUAUUCUAGCGCAUAAAUAAUUUGCUACGAAUAUACAAAUAAAUUUUAACUUUUGACUUUUCCAUAAAUAAUUGAGUUACUAAAUAUUUUAUCUUCUAAAGUAGGUUACUCAUUAGUUCAAAAGAAGCCGAAUCUAACAAACUUUAGAAUUUUAUGCGUAGAGGCUAAAAUAAAAGUAUGCGCAAAUACAGCUACUAAAAGGUUAAUUAAGCCUAAUAAAAUAAAAUUAGUAGAACUAAAAAAUAGUAGUGUAUAGUUCACAAACUUUUGUUCUCUAAACUCUAGAAACUAGCUCGUAUUGUCUAUUUAAAGAGCAAAACCCUACACCAUCUAAUAUGUAUGCUGCACAAGUAUUUGAAGUGAAUUAUGAUAGCCUGAAAAAGCAGUGACAUGAAAAUGAAGGUACUACUUGUUUUGUUUGUUGCUACAAUUUUGGUAGCAUCGCAAUGCCAUGGGUACAAAAUGUUCCCUCUCCAAAUGAAAAUGGCACAAUACACUACGGAGAUAUCACGUGCAAGUUGGAGGCUUGGAGUGGAAGCAGUGGGAGAGUGGAGAGUGUCUAACCAUACAUGAACUAAUAAUAUAUGUGAAUAAUUAAGAUUAAAAUCUGUUUGAUUUGCUAAAAAAUAAAGAAUUCGAUAAUAUAAAAAUAUUUUGUCUAACGUUUAAUUUAAAAAAUGACUAAAAGAUAAUACAAAAUAAAGAAUAAUAAAUUAGACAAAUAUUUAAAAAUUGUAACUUACUAAAUUCCGAUACAACUUUUUAUUUAGUGUCUAACAAAAAUAAAAAUACAAUAUUGUUCCUAUUUACCUCCCUCCUCGCCUUUGUCACGUCCCUCGUCAUAAAUCUUUCAGACCACUCCAUCCUCUUCAUUCUCGUCUUCCCCAACACUUAUCUUGUCUCUGAUGAUCACUUCUCCCGCUACCACCUCUCCUUGGCUACCCUUGUCGACAUCCUUCACUAUCACGUCCUCUUCCAGUUCCUCUCUUGGUCCGACCUCCGCCCCCUCCCCUUCCUACAAGUUGGAGGAUUGGAGUGAAAGCCCUGGGAGAGUGUAGAGUACACUAUGUGUACACAUACAGCACACCUGUACUCCCCUCCAACGUCAUCAUCCUCUCGAUUCGAUUACCAAACAAUGUACAAUACAAAAAGUUUUCUUAUAACCCAAUUAAUUAUUUAGUGUUGUUUUGUCCGUUCUAUUUUUUUAAUAAAUCAAACGCACCCUAAAAGAUAACUAGUAACCAAAAUAAUAAAGGAUUAAUUGAUAAUUCUAUAAUUAAUUACUUAUAUAUAUAUAUAUAUAUAUAUAUGUGUGUGUGUGUGUGUGUGUGUGUUAGCAACACAUUCUCUUAAAUGUUAUUUAUCAUUUGUCAAAAUUUAUUAGAAGUAGCAUAACUUAAUGAGUAUCUUUUAUUUAUUUGUAAUUUUGAAUAAAUUUUUAUUAAUAACUAAUAAUAGUUUACUAGAAGAGAUAUUGCUAGCAUUCCUUGUGUAUGUAUACAUGGAGAGAUGAAGUUAGUGUAAGAGUAAUUUUUGUGAAUUAUUUUAUUUAAUAACUCUCUGUAUAUAUUAAAUUUUAAUAAUCCAAUUAUUGAAUUAAUUUUUUUAUUGAAUACAUAAAAUUUAAAAAAUAUUCAUAAAAUUUUAAAACUAUUUGAUACUUCAUUGAAUAAGUUCAAUUUAAUUUGUAUAAUACUUUUUUAAAAUAUGAGCAAAUGUCCAAGUAUAAGAUUACGUAAGUACAAAUGUAUAAUUAUUUUAAGAAUAUGUUGUGAAUGAUCAUCGAGUCGAUAUCAACUUACUUAAAGUUAAAUUAAUAGAUUUUAAUGUACAAAACAAAUCAUUGAAGAAAAUAAUUUUUCCUAAAACUAUUCCUAUAAUAACUUGAUUAUUCUUAUAUAGAGUAAAUGACCAUUUUAGUUAUUGAAAUUGUAGAGUGUUUUCAUAAUAUUCUCAUAAAAUAAAAAAUAUUAAUAAUCUCUGAAAUUAAAAUUAAUAUAAUUUCAACCCCUAAUAUGUAUAAAAAAAUUAUUAUUAUUAUUAUUCUUAUUAUUAUUAUAAUCCCUAUUUUACACCUUAUUGUCAUUAUAGUCGAUAACAGAAUUGACAGCAUACAUGGGACUAACAUGAUUAACGAAUUUAAAUUUUAAACAUUUAUUGACAAUUUUUUAAUUUCAGAAAUUAUUGUAACUGCACAUCACAGUUUCAAUAAUCAAAAUAAUAGAUUAUUCUUUCUUUUCUGACAAUAAAGUAAACUCAUAGUAAGUUAUGACAUUAAUUUUUAAAGAAAGUAGAAUAUGAAAAAAAAGUUAUAUAUAUGUCGUUCUAUUUACAUAUAACAUAUAAUUAAAGGACUCAAAUUACUUAUCGCUUAUCAUAUUUUGUGAAUUACUCUUCUUAUAUUUGUGCGUGUGCGCAAAUUUUCACCUUUUUUGGGGAAGGGAAUAAUGUUAUUUUGGUUAGAAAUGGUAUUGAAAAUAACAUCCAGCAAACUACAUGGACAAGUGGUAAUAAUAUUGUGAUAUAGUGUCAACAUUGAGAUUAAAAUGAGUUAUUUUAAAUUAGAGAGAUUAAAAAAUUAUUUUUAAAUUUAAGGAGAUUAAAAGAAAAUCAUAUUUAAAGGUCAAAAAAUAUAUUUAAGAAAAACUUUAAAGGUCAAACCAUAGGGCACCCACGAAUUAUUUGGUCGGGUGAGAAAAAUAUAAAUAUAUUACAAUAACAUUUUUAUUUAGUAGGAGAGAAACUAAAAAAAGAAAAAAAAAUCUUUUACUUUCUCUUUAAAUCAAAAUAAAUGUAAUUCAAUGGACUAACACAUGCGCUCUAUGAGAGAUAAUCUUAAUUUGAUCUCAAGCAACACAUCCUUAAAAAGAGAAAACAAAAAUUCAUCAAAAAAAAGAGAAAACAAAACUUAAAAAUGAGAUUUUAAAAUAUCAGAAAGAGAAAAACUUCUAGCUUUUAAUUUUUUAUAUUUAUUUUUCUUUUGUUCUUGAUAAUUUUUUAAUUUUUUAUUUAAGAUAAAAUUAAAAGGAGAAAAAAAUUCAAUGGACAACACAUGCGCUCUGAAUAAUGCACGUUCAGAGAUGGUGACAAAUGAUCUACCAAAAAAAAAAGCAGCAUUGCAACCUACAGAAAAGAGAUGGUGACAUAGGGUGGUGAGUCACCGGCAUUUAUCAUAAUGCUCUAGACCCACCAGCAUCAACCAAUUAGAUAUGCACGAUUUUUAGGGGAAAAAAAAAUCUAAGUGUCCACCUCAUUUUGGGUGAAUUGACGUAGAAGGAGGAGCAAGAUUAGAAAAAAAAAAAAGAAGUAAAAUUAAAGAACAUGAUAAAUAAACUUUAUGUAAUGAAAAAUUUAACAAAAAGAACAUUUAAUAAUAUUUUUAUCCUCAAAUUUGUGUCAAUACUAUUUUAGAUCCCCGAAAUUUAAAUUUGUUUUUUUUUUCUCAAGUCUAUAAGUUAUCUUUUGAGUUUCUUGUGAUUGAUUUUUUUCCCGUAAAGAUGUAUAGUUUGUGGCAUUUUUUUAUUACAAGAAAAACUAAAAAAAAUAAAAUUGAGAAACUAAAAAAAUAAAUUAAGAUGUUUGUCUCUAGUGUAGCUUUUAAAAUAUAUUGUAAUGCUGUAUAACAUAGAAUUUAUAAAAAAAAAUUAGUAAAUUUAUUUUCUAUUUAACGAGUUUUUCUGUUGAUUUUAUAAUUUUAAUAAAUGUUAAUCAAUAAUUUAUUAAAAAUUAUCUUAUUACAAAUAACUCUUAAUGAUAAGGAUGAGAUAAAGGCCCAACACCUAUCAAAAAUUGCCGCAGGGUAGUUGAAACGUGCUUCUUAUGCCGUUGUGACUUUGUGGUCCAAAAUUAACCGUACAAUCUGCAAUUAUUGCAAUGCUCCGUCUUUUUUUAGCGUCUGUAUGUCACCACUUGGCACGGGCACUUACCGAUAAAAUAUAAAAUGUAUAAACAAAAGUAAUUACAAUUUGAAUAUAAUUUAAAACAAAAAAAAUAAAAAGUAUAUUUUAGCAUUUAUAUAUAUAAUUAUUAUGUUGAAAUAUCUUUUAUCUUUAAUCUUUAUUCUUUAUACCGAAUCUAAAAAAAUUCAUAAGUCUAUAAUUUAAGACAAUUUAUGAAAUUGAGAUUUGAUUAUUAAAGAUAGAAUAAAAUAACUCAAUCAUUAAUUGAUUUUUUAUUUAAGUAUUCUUCAACAAUUAUUGUAAGAUCUUUACGGCUAUUCAUUACCAAUACGAAUAAUGAUAUUAUGAUUUUUGUCGACUGGAAUUUUUUUGUUCUUCAAUAAGACCUUUGUGACUAUUUAGAUGGGGAGAAAAAAAAUUGUAUGACGAUUCGGUAUAUUGAAAACCAUAACCUCAUAAUGUGACAAUAUUGACAUCUGAUCAUUUAAGUUCAUAUCAUUUUAUUUAGUUGUCUAACAGACUCACCUAACUUAACAACCUAAAAUAUACUCAAUAAUGAUAAAUAGUUAAUAUAAUGAUCUUACAAUAUUAUGUAAUUUUGUCAUUUCGCAACUCUGUUCAUGUUAGAUAUGUAUAACAUUAUAUGUUGUAGAACAAUUUAACACUUAUUGAAGAAAAUAAAACAAAACGUGAAUGGUUUUAGAUGUUGCACACUUUAUUUAUCAUAUCUAGUGUGGUAUUCACCAUUGUAGUUAGAUUUGAUAAUCUUAAUUUUCUUUUGUAAUUGAAGUUCAAGUUUAACUUUUAAAGAUUUGAAAAUGUAUAGAGACUGAGGCAUCUCAUCAAUUAAAGAAAGAGUAGUCAUCUAUGAACAUAAUAAAAUACAUUUGUCUAUUCCAUGAAUCCAUAAGAAAGAUACCACGAAUAUUUGUAAGUAUUAGUUCUAAGACAUUCUUAAAUCUUUCAACACUUAAAUUCCUUUUAUUUGUUUGUUCUUCCUUUGUGCACUCAAUACAGACUUAAACGUUUGACAAAUAAAAAGGCCCAAAAAUUUCCUCCGACACAAGCUUUUUGAAUUCUCUAUAUAGAGAUGUGGCCUAAGCGCCCAUGCUAUAAAGUGACAAAAUUCUCAUUUAAUUUAUGUUUCAUACCAUGUGAAUCCUUUGUAACAUUUCUUUAUAGGAGCACUUAAUAUCAAUUAAAGACACAUAACCAACAUCACUUGAAUUACAUGAGAGACUAACUUUUUAUUUCCAAAUGAACAAGAGUAACUGGAUUUGUCCAAAAUAGAAAUAGAAAUUGAAUUUCACCUAAUAGAUGAUGUAACACACACACACACACUAAAAUAAGGGUCUAAAGAAAUUUUUCAAGCAAACACUUGGUUUGAAAAGGAUGACAAAAAAUACUAAGAGAAUGCUUAAUAAAACCGUUAAGAGAUGUAGAAACACUUAAUUUUUACUCAUUCACUCAAAUAGAGUUAUAUCUAGUUCUUCUUUACACAAUCGUAAAGGGUUUCACUAAUCAAAACUUGAUUACAAAGCAAAUAUUAUGUCUUGCUGGCUAUACAAGUAUUAUUCUAGUCACUUCUACACUAUCUUAGACUCCCCCUAAACUUAAGAAAAACCUAAGAAUGGUUUAACAUUAAGUCAGUCUAGGCUUUCACAAGUAGUAGUUUGAAUAAAUACAAGUAUUCAAUAGCACUCAAUGAGUUGGAUAAGUAAUAAAGCAAAAAUAAAAGAUAACUUUGUUUAGCAAAGGAUAAACAAUAAGAGCUAAUAAAUUGUCUAGUGAUUUCUGUAGAGUUUUGCUUCAGAGUUAUUCACGUUUUCUCGUAAUUUUUUGAAGUCGUGCUUUUGGGUAGAGUCUUCCUUUUAAUAGAUUUCAAUGAAGGAUUCAUUAUGGUAUUAAUGUUAAGUCUUUGAAAUGAUUGUUGUCUCACAUUGGAGAUAAGAUUAUGUGACAUGCUUUGAUUUGAAAGGCAAAGAAUAAAAAUACAUAAUACUGCAUGUGCUCCUAGAGGAAUAUUUUGUGUAGACUUUCUAUUAUCUUUUAUUUUUUCAUUUUUUAAAAUUCAAAUGUUAACAAUUCAAAUAAAGAGAGAAACUAAAAUUUCAUAAAAGAGAAUACGUGUAUUAAUUUUAUUUUUGGUUGACAUGACUUUUUCAUACUAAGUUGGACACCAAUUGUGUGUGAGACUUAUACCAUCUUGUGAGUGUUGAACAUUCUUAGUGUAUAACACUGAUAAUAUAAAGGGGUAGACACUUUUGGUCUUAUAGCGUGUGUGAUGCUGAUUAAUAAUUAACAAAAUAUUUUCUUUUUUGAGUGUGGAUGAUAUAUGUGAAUAACACUUAAGUCCUUUAAUAACUUUGCUCACGUCCACUUGUCAUAAACUUAUUAAUAUAUCAAAAAUUUGUAUUUUUUGUUAAACAUCAAAAUAGGUAUAAAUGGUCGUCCAAACCUAACAAUGAGCAUUUAAUGUUAAUAUGAAUUGAAGAUCAUAUUAACAUGUAUUACAUCGGACCUGAGUUCUUUGUUGUUCCUAUCUCAGUUGUCCCCAUGCUGUUUCUUGAAAAUCACACAAUUUUAAAUUAAAUCAUAAAAUUAAAUAUUAACACAAACUAAAUAGAUAACAUCGAAUCAGCUAAAAAAAAGACAACAAAAAAACCAAUUUAGUAUUACAUCUUUCAAACAAGACAUAUGUUGCCUAAACAAUUUUUUGGUACAUUUCUUAAUUGAAAAUUUUACACUAUUCUGAAUAAUUUAUUAGAUACAUAAUAUCUAUGUGCAAAUAUAAAAUCCAUACAACUUUUCAGUGUUAUAGGUGAACUCAUGUAUCACGUGUUCUAAUAAGUCUCUAUAUAUUCAGAUUUAAGUGAUAAGAGUGGACCCCGAAAAGAAACUGUUUUUUUAUAUAUAUAAACAAUACUAUGCUAUAAUAAAUUUUAUAUAUAUAUAUAUAUAUAUAUAUAUAUAUAUAUAUAUAUAUAUAUAUAUAUAUAUAUAUAUUAAGAAGAAGAAAAAAAGCGCAAGAGCAUCGAUCAAAUGAACGAAUAAUGCUCAAUUUUCUUUUAUUAAAAGUAUAAUUUAAUUUAUACAUAUUGUAUGAUGUAAUAUUGGUAUAAAAUAUUUAACAUAUUUGAUGAUAAAUAUUUACUAAAAAUAAAAAUUUGUAUGAUUAUCUUUAUCAACACAAUUUUUUUUCCAUUCAUAAAAUUUGAAUGUGACUUUACUUAAGAGAUUCAAUAUAAUUAACUAUCAUCAAACAGCUUCCUGGUAUAUGAACAUGCAGGCUUUUUCUUUGUAAUCUGAGGGGUAUUUCUUAUGCCUCAUAUGAAUAUUAUUCUCUCUUUGCCGUUUCAGAAAAAAAAAAAAAAACUUAAGAAUAUACAUGCAUAUAUAUAUAUAUAUAUAUAUAUAUAUACAUUUAUCUUAAAUAUAUAUUUUAAAGUAAUUAUUAUAAAAAUAAAUUAUUUUAUAAUAAAGAACCAUCUAUGAUCAAAUAAAUGAUAUAUAUAACUUGAAUUUGCCUGCUGUUAGAUAAUUUAACAACUAAUUAACUGUAAGUAAUCUCAGUUCCUUACCGCUAGAAAAGUUAACAUUUAAUGUUCUGACACAUUCAGAAUUUGUUAUGUACGUCCUUUACAUUACACCCAAUACUUUAUCUUUCAAAAUGAGUUUCUCACGUUAAAAAAAAAAAAAAAAAAGUUGCAUCCAACAGACUUUAAUUUGUACAAAAUGCGUUUUGAUUAUUAAAUUCUAAAAAAUUAACCUACCUGAUUGUUUUUUUUAAAAAAAAAAUAUGUUCAACCAAAUUCUAUUGAAGAUUAAAAAAAAAGUAGACAAAAAACAUAAAAGAAAAUAACAUUCUGGACUAGUAAAAUGAAUUAUUGGACCGUAAAAAUUAGCUUAUUACAGUUCAGAAAUAUUUUAUCCUCUAUGCAGUAGGCAGAGGUAUUGUCUAUUUAAAGAAGCAAAUCCUCGAUGAGGAAAGUGCACAAGUGAGUUUGUUGAUCGAGAUAACUAGAAACAGUGUGAUGAAAAUGAAGGUCCUUGUUUUCUUCGUUGCUACAAUUUUGGUAGCAUGGCAAUGCCAUGCGUACGAUAUGUUCCCUCUCCGAAUGAACACUGGCUAUGGUGCCCGUACUCCGGAGGUGAAAUGCGCAAGUUGGAGGCUUGCUGUGGAAGCACACAACAUCUUUGGCUUUGAGACCAUUCCUGAAGAGUGCGUUGAAGCAACAAAGGAAUACAUCCAUGGCGAACAAUAUAGAUCAGACUCCAAAACAGUUAACCAACAAGCUUACUUUUAUGCCAGAGACCUCGAAGUCCAUCCCAAGGACACAUUUGUGUUCAGUAUAGAUGGCACCGUACUCUCUAAUAUUCCAUACUACAAAAAACAUGGAUAUGGGUAUUAUGCUCUUAGUUAAUUUUCUUCUAAUACUCUCUUUUUCCGUUUUUGCUAUUACUAGGUUACUCCCUUAUAUGCGCAUCAUUUAUUUUCAACUAUUUUUGGUAUUGAUCGAGUUUCGGUGUUUGGCCCGACUAACAACAUUAAGGUUUCUCAUCACAUGCAUGUAGAUUUGAAACCUUCAUUAUAUAUGACAUUUUAUGAUUAGAUAUAAUAUAAAGAAAAAGUUUCAUUGUGAGUGCAUAAAUAUAUAUAUAUACAGACACAGGCACAUACAUGCUUUCAGGAUCGUGUUCAUUGUUCUUAAUGCAAUAUUUUAUGUGAUAGGGUGGAGAAAUUUAACUCGACCUUGUAUGAUGAAUGGGUUAACAAGGGCAAUGCACCGGCACUGCCCGAGACUCUUAAGAAUUACAACAAGCUGGUGUCUCUUGGCUUCAAGAUUAUAUUCUUGUCAGGAAGAACACUGGACAAACAGGCCGUAACAGAAGCAAACUUAAAGAAGGCUGGCUACCACACAUGGGAAAAAUUAAUUCUCAAGUCAGUUUUCUUUUUUCUCUAUACUAUAUUCUCAAGUCAAUUAAUUCUCAACGUUGCACCAAAUCUGCCAGGAAGGAACAGUUUAUAGAUAAUCAGAAAUUAUAUAAUUAUUUUAAGUACAUGGUGCGAUAUGAGUUUGAAAUACUAGUAGCUAAUUGGAUCUAUUUUUGGUUGGUGCAGGGAUCCACAAGAUCCUUCCACUCCAAAUGCAGUUUCAUACAAAACAGCAGCGAGAGAGAAACUGAUAAGGCAGGGAUACAACAUUGUUGGGAUCAUUGGAGACCAAUGGAGCGAUCUCCUCGGAGGCCACAGAGGCGAAAGCAGGACCUUUAAGCUUCCUAAUCCCCUGUACUACAUUCAGUAGUUCCUUCACCUCUCAACAAUCUAGCUUGCUCCUAUCUAUCUAUAUGUAAUAAGAUGCGUUCAAAUAGGGGCACUAGCUUCACUUUAUGUUGUUUCAGCUGUGUGUCAACAAGUCAUGUAAGAGACUUCACUAUGUUGUUUUCUCUUUCGUGGCUUUAAUAAAUUAUGCGCCCUUGUUCCAUACUUUGAUCUUUUCUUUUCUUUUCUUUUUCUUUUUAAGUCAAAGUAAUUCAUUAUUAUCAAACUAAUGAAAAAUACUAACCAAUAUCCUAAGAGAAUUGGUUAAAGAAUUUAAAAUAAUAAUAUUUUUAUUAAGAGACACAAAAUUAUGUUAUUUAUAAAUUUUUUUUAUUUUCAUAUAACUUACACAAUUAAUAUUUUUGUCUUUUAGUUUUAUAACAAAUGUCUUAAAAACACUAAUUAAAAAGAUUCUUUAAAAAAUAGUCUUAAGAAAAUCUGAGGAACUUAGCUAGGUUUUACAAACUAAUAUAAAAUGUGAAUUAAAUAUAUUUUUUCCAUUUAAUAAUUUAGUAUUUUUUUUCAUCCAUUACAUUAUUUUGAAUAAUAAAAAAUAUUAUAAAGUGUUUUAAGGAUGAAAAAUAAAAGAAUAUAUUUUAAAUAAAAUAAAAAAGAAAUUUGCAGGAAAAAAAUAUCUAAAAGAUAAAGAUUUUAUAAAAUCGAGAUCGGGAAAGAAGUGCACAAAAUCGACGUCGUGAAAGAAGUGCACAAAAUCGACGUCGUCUAUUACACCAUAUAAUUACACUGUGAACCGACAGUUGGUAUUAACACAAUGGCCCAAUAGAGUAGACCGAGAAAUAAUUAUCUGACAAAUAUACUGUUCACUAAAAACAAAAAAAUGAUGAGAAAGCCUGAAAAUUACACUAUAUAUAUAUAUAUAUAUAUAUAUAUAUAUAUAUAUAUAUAUAUAUAUAUAUAUAUAUGAAAUAUAAUAACUUUAUACUAUCAUUUAAUUAAAAAUAAUUAUUUAAAUUAUUUUAAAAUAAUUAUUUUAAAAAUCAAUAAAUUUAUCAUACAUAAUAAAUAUUUAAUAUAAAUAUUGAUUAAAUGAUUAUAUAAAAAAUUUAUACUAUCUUUGUAUAAUCCUUUUUUCAUAUAAAAAUAUUAGUGAAUGGUGUUUUGAGUUUCAAAAUUUUAUAAAAUUUCGUUUUAAUUUCUAAUUUAUAAAUAUUACUCUUUUAAUAUACCCUUUAAUUUCUAAUUUUAAAAAUAUUACUCCUAAUACAGAGAAAUUUUAGUUUUAAAAUUCCAAAAUCGAGUAGUUUUGAUUUCUAUAUUUUUUGAAAUAUACAUAUUUGGUCCCUGUAUAAGAUAGAAAAACAUUAGUUUUAUAUAUUACGUUUGGAUAUUUUUUAUAAAAAAAAUCAACCAUGAAAAAUAUUCAUUUUAAAAGUCAGAACUCAGAAUCAAAAUUCAAAGUUUAGAAACUUUUUAAGUAAAAACAUUGUUAACCCAUUAAAAUGUUGUCAUCACAUACAUGUAACUAAUGCUAAAUUUAAUUACGUUUAUCUUUUAUUAUAUAUAAACAUCUUAAAAAUCUAUUAAAAAAUACUAGGUACAAUCACACUCAUUUAACUAUAUAUUUUUUAUUGAUGAUGCUAUUUUUUUGGUAUUUUGGGGUUGCUGAAGAACUUGACGGUUUUUGUCUACAACCCUCCUCUAACCUAAAAAAAUAAAUUGGUUGGCGAGAGUAUUGCAGCAAACAUUUGCUGGAGUAUGUUUGACGCUUAAGAAGCUUUUGAAUUAAAAUAUAAAUCUCACAAAAAUAUAUAAAUUUAUCCUUUAAUAUUAUAUCUCUUCUCUUUAUCCAAGACACCAAAAGUCUCUUGCAACUUUAGCACUGUUAGCGACUUUCUGACAAUUAGUCACGCGCACUCCCUCAUUGUGUCUGUACUCUGGAGUCAAACUCAUCCAUUUUGGAAGCGAAAUAAUGCUUUUGGGUGAAAAAAUUAUCUCUCAUGCUUUAGUCCGUGUACUGUUUGGACUUUGGAGUGUAUGAUUUUAUAUUAACUUUAUAUUACUUUUUCUGCUUUUGGGUGUGGAAAAAAUUAUCUCUAAUGCUUUGUUUGUUUCAAUGCACGGAAUGAUUUAGAGAGAUGGAAAAUAACUUCAUAUUUUGUCCCUGUACCGUUUGGACUUUGGAGUAUAUUGAGAAAGAAAGGAAUAAAAGUAUCAGUUUGUGGUUCCAUAUUAACUUUAUAUAUCGUCUAAUUUAGAACGAAAAGGAGUAUUUUCUAUACAAAGAUAAAAAUAUUAUUAUUUACAAUAUAUCUCAUGUUUUACUAUUAUUAUUAAAAUAUAGACAUUAUCUUUUUCUGCUUUCAUUUUUUUGUCAUAAAAUAACAUAAAAAAAUCAUUUUGUUUUGAUAUUAAACCCAACCAUGCAUUCUCCACAACAACCCAACUAUACUUUACUUUUAAAAUAUAAACUAUAGAGAUAUGCCGUCGAUUUUUUAAAGGCUUGUAUUUUUAGUCCCAGGUAAAUUAAUGUUUUUUUAUGUAAUUUUAUUUUUUUAAUUUUAGUUUUUGUAAUUUGUGACUUUUUAUUUUUGAUUUUUUAAGAUAUUUUAUUUAUUUUUAAUUUUUGCAUGUUUAUAUUUUUUUUAAUUUUGAUCCCAUAAUAUUAUAACUUUUUUAUUUAUAGUCACCCUAAAUUCAUGUUUAUAGAGACUAAAAUUAGAAAAACAUAAAUUUAUAUUAACUAAAAAUGAACAAAAUACUUUAUAAAUAUUAAAAUUGAAAAAUAUAAACUUAUAAGGAUUAAAAUUAAAAAAUUUAGAGAAUACAAAAAUAAAAAUACACUAAUUUACAGAGAAAAAAUCAUAUUUAAAUCGUUUUUAAAUAUAAAAUCUCUAUCUAUUUUAUUGGAGAUCAUGGGCAUUUAUUUAGUCUCUAUCUAUUUUAUUAGUUAGGUGACUAGAGUGGACCCAAAAGAUAUCUAUGGAUUUGAAACAUAUACUGAACUAUUAAGUAAAAAGUAAAUCAUGAAAUAUUAUACACAUUAAAAAAUUAAAAAUUAAAAAAAUAGAGGACCAGAACCCCAACCAUCUAAGUAAAUUUGUCCACAAUAAUAAAUAUAUCAUUAUUUAAAGUCUUAAAGAAAGAAGACCCAAAUAAAUAUAAUGUAGAAGUAGAACACAUAAAUAACCCCAAAAAUCUGCUAGUUUUACUGUGGGUUGCGUUUCCUAUGGUACCGUGGGGGUAACACAAAAAGCGACUGUCUGCAACAAUAAUGAAUCUGCACAUGGAUAAGUGUCAGGUACAGCAGAAGACAUACACAACACAUAAAUAAUUUACUGAAUAUAAAUAAUUAAUAUGUUAAAGUUAAAUUAAAUUGUUUAAAUAUUAUUUGAAUUUUAUUUUUAAUAAAAGUAAUUUUUUAUUUAUUUAUUGUCUAAACUUUGAAUUAGUCUCUUUCCCUAUUGAACCCAAAAGUAAAAAAAAUAAAAAUGCACAGCAAGAACCAAAACAUGCGGAUAUUCACCAAUAAUGUGGCAAUUGAAUUGAAUCUCAGGGCCAGUAUGUUUCUUACAAACUACACAAAACGUUAAAAAGAUGGAGCCAUGCAUUUGACCCAUACGUACCCACCCCAAUCUAACAAUCCAAACCUAAUAACGAUGGUCAGCACCGCACCAGCUUCAUAGUAAAAUGAGUUACAAUUUUAUACUAUAUUUAAUAAAAAGUAAAUCAAAAUUUGAAAAUCAAAACUUUAAUAAUAUUAAGGUAUGUUUGGAUCAAUUUCUCCAUAAACGCUUCUGGAAGAUAAAUAAAAAAACAACUUUUUAUAAUUUAAAAUUAAUUUCUGUAUGGACCAAUUCUAGAAGUUGUAUCACAUAAGUUUUUUAAUAGAAGAUCUUUAAUUUAUGCAUAAACUAAUUGAUGAAGAAUUUUUUUUAUUUUUUUCUAAUUCUAGAAGUGUUUUCGAAUAUAUUUAUCUAAACAUACUUAUAUUAAUUAAAAAAUAGAAGUGGUCAUGAAAGUUACGGGUUAGAUAUAAUAUUAAUAAAAAAAAUAUAAUUUAUACAUCACAUGUGCUGAUUUUAAAAAGUUUUUUUCAAAUAAUUAAAAUCGUAGAUAACUAUUACGAUAUUUCAUUCUUUAAAAUAAAAUAUAAAAGUAAAGUUAUUUUAUUUUGUUUAAUUUUUUUACACUAUUUUUAUACUUAAAAUAACAAGUUGUACGUUAUUAUUCACACCUAUGACUCUACAUUUAAAAGUCCUGAAUGUGAGUUCUUAUGUUAAGAAUUUAUUCAACUUUUACACUAUCUCAAUAAUUUUGAAAUUAAUUAAUUACCACUUUGUGGUAAACAAAGCCGAGUUUCAUGAUUAGAAAGUAAAAGGUAAAAGUAAAACAAUUUCACGUUCAAAACAAAAAAAAAUGUAAAAAACAAAUUGUACAAAAAUUUCGUGUUUCGCGACUACCAAGGAAGAGUUAUCGCUGCUGCCUCUUGCUUUCAGCCACACAAAUUGCAGAGGGCAUGGCACACAAAUUGUCAAGUCCUUGUCUCGGCCUGGAACACGAGGGAAACGCAACAACACGGUACAUAUAUACUUGGAUUCAGGAGUGGGUUUUUUUCCCUCUUCAUUUUUUUUCAUUAUAUUAUAUAAAAUUUAUUUUAAUUGGUUUUAAAAUUACUUAUUUAUUAAAUUAAUUUUUUUAAUUUUGUUUUUAAUUAAUUUUUUUAAUAAGAAAAUUGUAUUAUUAAAAAUAAUUAUUUUUAUUUUAUUAUUUAAUUUACUUAACAUAUUUUUUUAGGUGAAUAUUUUUUUAACAAUCUGAAUUUUGUAAUAUAAUUAUAUUACUAAAUAUGAUUAGUUUGUUUAUGUCAUUAAAUUUAAUUAAAAAUGAUAAAACUUUUUGUUUAACAAUUUAUUUAUAAAAGAACUUUAUAUUGCAUUAUCAAUAAAAUACUUAAACAAUUAAGAAUGAUAAGACUUUCUGUUAUAAUCAUGUUGUCGGUAAAUUAAAUAUUUUUUUCUACUUUUCCUUAUUCGUCCAUCUCAUGGGAAUGCGAGUUGAAACGGGAUGACCCGUUGUAGUUUUCUUCAUCCUUGGAUUAGAACCUCACUGAACUCCUUCGUAUUCUUGCCACGUUGAUUCGUGUGGGAGUAAAUCAAAAGAGUUGUCAUAGACGUGCCAAAUGUGUUGUAGAGUGAAGACAUGUAUCCCCACAUUGAUCAUGCACAAUAGAAAUUGGUUAUCUUCAAUAAACUAGUCAUCGAAAUAGAAGAAGACCUGUNNNNNNNNNNNNNNNNNNNNNNNNNNNNNNNNNNNNNNNNNNNNNNNNNNNNNNNNNNNNNNNNNNNNNNNNNNNNNNNNNNNNNNNNNNNNNNNNNNNNNNNNNNNNNNNNNNNNNNNNNNNNNNNNNNNNNNNNNNNNNNNNNNNNNNNNNNNNNNNNNNNNNNNNNNNNNNNNNNNNNNNNNNNNNNNNNNNNNNNNNNNNNNNNNNNNNNNNNNNNNNNNNNNNNNNNNNNNNNNNNNNNNNNNNNNNNNNNNNNNNNNNNNNNNNNNNNNNNNNNNNNNNNNNNNNNNNNNNNNNNNNNNNNNNNNNNNNNNNNNNNNNNNNNNNNNNNNNNNNNNNNNNNNNNNNNNNNNNNNNNNNNNUAAAAAAUAUAUGAUAUAAUAUUAUAUUUAUAAUAUUUAAACUAUAAAAAAAUACCAAAGUAUGGAAGUCGGGAUGAUCAAACCCAAUUUCCAACAAGCAUUCCAAAAAUAGUGCCCUACAUGAAUAAAAGAAGAAAGUGAUGUAGAUUGGGAAAAAAAGUGGAAAGAGAAAGUGCAUUGACGAAAAAAAACCAAAUGUAAAGAAUUACUACCUAACAACAUUGUCAACCAACAUGGUUUGGUUAUGAUUAGCAUAUAUAUUCCUGUCUUUAAAAUAUGUUGUUGAUACUCAUGUUCGUGUAAAUGAAAAGUAUUUGUAGAAAAAAUAAAACUCUUAAAUGGGUCUUAUCCGGUCAAAGGACACCCUCAUGAGCUCACCAAUUAAUGUAAUCAAGCAAAUAAAUUACCAUUAACGUAAGCUUACAAGUCGUAAGCUCAGUGUUAUUAUCUACAAAUUUAAAAAGUCAAUUAUAUCACGUGGACCAUAAAAAAAAAGGUUGCCGAGCUUAAUUUCCUGUAUCUAGCUAGCUAGCUAGCUAGAGGAAUGGUCUAUUUAAAGAAGAAAAUUAAGCCUACACCAGGAAGCUGGAAAAGUUAGAAGUAGUGAAGAAAAUGAAAGUCAUUGUUUUCUUCGUUGCUAUAAUAAUUUUAGGUGCAGAAUGGCAAUGCAAUGGGUCAGAGCAUGAGCAUGAGCAUGGCCACAGCUACCAAAUUUUCCCUUUGCGAAUGAAAACCGGCCCCGGUGGCCACUACAUUCCGGAGGUAUCGUGCAAAAGUUGGAGGCUUGGUGUGGAAGCACACAACGUCAUUGACUGGAGAACCAUUCCUCAAGAUUGCGAGGGAUAUAUAGGAAACUACAUGCUUGGCCACCAAUAUAGAUCAGACUCCAAAACAGUUUGCCGUGAAGCUUAUUUUUAUGCUAAAACCAUCAACAUCACUGCCAAAACCACAUGGGUGUUUGAUGUAGAUGAGACUACACUCUCUAAUCUCCCUUACUUUGCUGAUCAUGGAUUUGGGUAUCAUCUUUUUUUCUAUCAAUUUAAUUACUUUUCGUUAAUGUUUGAAAAAAUAAUUAAUAUAUCUAAAAAAAUAGAAAAUAAUUUUAUGAAAAAAGACAAAUAAAUUUCUAAAAAUAAUCUUAGGACAAGAAGGAAUAUUUUUCUUUCCAUCUUUUUCUCAACUACUUUUGUAUAUAUUGAGUUUCAGUGUGACCCAAGAACUAAUUAAGUCAAUAAAAAUAAUCAUAUCAUGUAUUUUGUAAAUUAAAAAUAAAUAACAACAGAAUAAAUAAUAAGAACUCAAAAGUGAAGUUGAAUUUUCAUAUACUAUACAUUGGAUAAAACAAGGUGUUGGCUAAAACUAAAAGAAAUAAUAAUAAACCUUAUUUUCUUAAGUGCAGGCUCCAUCGAUUCUGAGAUUAGAUAGUCAGGUUUAAACCUGACUAUUUCUACAUAUACCAUUUUUAUUUUUUUUGGUGCUUUGUGUUAAACAAUCUACAUAUCUGACUAUUACAUUGAUUUUGGGAUCGAAUUAAUUAUACGGUUAAAUUUUAUUUUAUUUUGCAUCUGGCUCAACAUUCUUCUUUGCAUACACAUAUCUCAUUAUAUAUUUAUAGUGAAUUUUUUUAUCGAACAAUAAUUAAUCAAUUUCCUGGUCAUAGGGUGGAGCUAUAUAAUGCAACAGCGUUUAAUGAAUGGGUUGACCUUGGCGAGGCACCGGCACUGCCAGAGAGUCUCAAACUGUACAAUAAACUGUUGUCUCUUGGCAUCAAAAUUGUAUUCAUAACAGGAAGACCACUGUAUCAACAGGCUGUAACUGCUACCAACUUAAAGCUUGCUGGAUACUACAAAUGGGAAAAGUUAAUUACCAAGUAAGUCUCUUUUUUUCUAUAUUUUUUGUAUAGAAAUCCAGUUAAUAUAUAAUAUAUUUUCAAAAUACAAGUAAAUAUUGAACUAAUUAAUAUUACAUAAUUUUCAUGUUGUUUGAGUGCUCUUUAUAGAAGUUCCACUUUAAUUAAAAAUUAAUUCAAUCGUUGUCAAAUAUUCAACACCAAUAUAUAAUAUUUCUUACAAUUAGUACUUUUUUUUUUACUUAUUUAACCUAUCUAUUUUUUUACAUCAGCAAUUCAGCUAGUUUCUUGUUUUCUUCACGUCAUAGUCUUGUUAAUUUAGAACAUAUAUGUUUCAAUUGUUUUUUUUAUUACGAUAGUAUCAUCAAAUUCAUGACAUUGAAUAAAUUAUCAAUAAAAUUAACUUUGGUUGAUGUGAUAUGAAUUAUUAAUUUAAAAAUAUAAAAAGCUAAUAAUUAUAUAUUUUAAAUGCAUAAUAAAAUAGUCGAGUUAUUGGUUAUCUGUACACAAGUAUAUUUUAAACAAAAAAUAACUGAUUUUCUCUUAAAUUCUGAUAAAAUAAAAUAAUUAAUUUUGUAUUUCUUUGUUUUUAAUUUCUUCCUUAAUUAAAUAAGUGUAGUGGCUUUUAAAAAUAAAUUAUUUACUAAUAUCUAUAUAUUUUCUUAAAUAUAUAUUUUUAAUUUGAGUCUUAUGAAAAAUAAAUUAAUAUUCACAUGUUUAUUUAUUUUCAAUUCUGUUAUAUUAUUGUUUGACAUUGUUAUAAUAUUAUUUGUUAGAUUUUUAACUUAAUAAAAUAUAAUAAAUAAAUCGAUUUCAAAUAUAAAAUAUGAUAUCUUUAAUUUCUAUAUUUGAAAAUUAUUUUUCAUUUAAGUAUAGAGACUAAAAUAUCAAUAAAUAAUUAAGUUUGUGAACUAGAAUUAUGGUACAAUAAUAAAUUUUGAGACCAAACUAAAAAAUUAUUUUUUUACACAUAGGAAUCAUAUGGAUGACACAUAAUAAUCAUUAGUUGGUACAUCAUCCCUAAAAGUAUCUAUUUAUAAUUGUUCGAGUUAACAAAAAAAUUAAUUAUCACACUUCUUACCAAUUUAAAAAUAAAAUUUUAAUUUUUUAUGUUUCAAAAAUCUAACUUAUCAACGUCUAAUACAUUAAAGGAUAACUUUAGGUAUUUGGUUUUAAAUUUUUAGUGUGAUGUUGUUGACAUUGAAGUGGAUUAUACUAUCUUCGUUCCUUUUUAUAUGUCUUUUAAGAUUGUUAUAUAAAAAAAAUGAUAAUUUUUUGUUUUAAUAAACAAAUUGUGAAUUUUCCUAUUUUAUUUUAUUUUCUUUUAACUUCACAAUAAAUAAAUAUGUAAAUUAAUUAAAGAUUAACAAAAAAUUAAGAUUAUAAUUAAUAAAAGAGUAAUUAAUGUGUUCUUAAAUUUGAAUUAUACAAAUAACAAAUAAAUAGAAACAAAAAUGCUCUCAAAAUAUUUUUUCUUCUUCGUACUCCAUUGUCCAGAGACUCGCUCUCAAAAUACUAUAAUUAAAAAAAGGACAGAAGAAGUAAUUUGCAUGUUCAUUCAACAAAUAAAUUUUAAGAGUUUAAUGACUAACUGUAUAAAGCAAUUGUACACAAUCAGUCAAACAUUGUCAUUAGUAUACUUUUAAGAUAACCGUUGUAAGCAAAUUAAUGACCAAGUAUACAUAAUUGUUGUAAUGGAAUGAUACAAUUUUAUUUUAUUUUUAUAAAUUCUAAGCAAUUAGUUCUUUACAAUUCACUAGAAUUGGUUUAGUGGUAAGAAAUUUCGAUAUAUUUUGUAUAAACUCCUUGUUUU
rnacentral:lncRNA from 1 species